UGGGUAAUCUGCCCUCGAUUCUGGGAUAGCCCGGGGAAACCCGGAUUAAUACCGGAUAGCCUCUUUAGCUUUCGGGCUUUUGAGAAAAGGAAGCUUCGGCCUCCGCAUUGGGAUGGGCCCGCGGCCCAUUAGCUUGUUGGUGAGGUAACGGCUCACCAAGGCUUCGAUGGGUAGCUGGUCUGAGAGGACGAUCAGCCACACUGGGACUGAGACACGGCCCAGACCUCCGUACGGGAGCAG
rnacentral:rRNA from 1 species